rnacentral:lncRNA from 1 species
CAGAAUAGGAGGAACAAUACGUGUCAUAUUUUUUAAUGAACAUUUAAAGAUACAGAGAGCCUCAGGGGACACACUUUGUACCAACGUUCAGAGAAUGAUGCUUGGAACUAUGGUGCCCAUCUAUAAAGCCACCUAUGGGCAUGCCAGUGGAGGACACCACCCUCAGACUGUAAGCACUGAUGCAAUCACCCACUUACUCAGCAGAGAAAAGGACAAAGGACAAAUCAAGAAGGCAUGAGACACCAUAAUCAAUUCCUCCUGGUCUGCUACUGAUCACAGGCCCUGGUCUAAGGCAGCAUGGUGGAGGUAAAAGCAUAGUCUGUGGAAAAACAGACAAAUCUGGAUUUAAUCACCACCUGUGUGACCUUCAGCAAGUUACCUCCUCUGUGCCUCAGUUUCCUCACUUGUGAAAUGAAUACCUCUUCUUCAAGUUGGGAUGAAGUUUAAAUGACAAGGGAAAUAUGAAAUCCACAUGAUACUGGCCAUGAAGGGAUCAAGCAAGAUGCCUUGUCUGACUAUUUCCUGAGGGUGCUAUAAUGAAGUUUCCAUAAUGUUCAUCUUUCUGCCCAACUGGAGAGCUAUUCUCAACUCAGACUCUCAGCUGGAAAGGAAUCUACUCAUGUCCUCAUGUUGAGAUCUUUAAAGUGCUUCUCCCAUAUCCACAGUAUGCAGAAAACAUGGAAUCUCAUUAGUGUAUUAUGAUCAAAACAAAGAAAGGACAGGCACAGAGUACCCAGGUAAGAGGGACAAAAAGAAGUGGCAUCUCACGGCUUCAUCCAACAUUUGCAGAGUACACAGGAGAGAAGCAAAGUUUCCCAGAGAAAUCAUUUAAUAACAUUUGGGCCUCAAGGACUAUAUUCUUUCUUUCUGUAAGAGUAAUAAGAAUUAAGGACAAGAGAGCUCACGUAAGAAAAGCAGUUUGCAAUAGAAACUAGCCUAUGGGGGAUAAGAACAUCACUGAACAGGAUCCAAAAUUGAUCAAACCUGUUAUUAAAGCCACACCAAUUAAGGGCCAUCCCCAAUUUAUUUGUGUGUAUUUUUCGUGAGAAGAAAUGAGGAAUUAAUAUCAGACCCCACUGCAGCCUUUGUAAUCUGUUUUAAG